AUUGAACGCUGGCGACAUGCCUUACACAUGCAAGUCGAACGGCAGCACGGGUGCUUGCACCUGGUGACGAGUGGCGAACGGGUGAGUAAUACAUCGGAACAUGUCCUGUAGUGGGGGAUAGCCCGGCGAAAGCCGGAUUAAUACCGCAUACGAUCUACGGAUGAAAGCGGGGGACCUUCGGGCCUCGCGCUAUAGGGUUGGCCGAUGGCUGAUUAGCUAGUUGGUGGGGUAAAGGCCUACCAAGGCGACGAUCAGUAGCUGGUCUGAGAGGACGACCAGUCACACUGGGACUGAGACACGGCCCAGACUCCUACGGGAGGCAGCAGUGGGGAAUUUUGGACAAUGGGCGAAAGCCUGAUCCAGCAAUGCCGCGUGUGUGAAGAAGGCCUUCGGGUUGUAAAGCACUUUUGUCCGGAAAGAAAUCCUUGGCCCUAAUACGGUCGGGGGAUGACGGUACCGGAAGAAUAAGCACCGGCUAACUACGUG
rnacentral:rRNA from 1 species